AUUGGGCCGGACCUGAUUAUGUAUCAAUUUUAACUUCCUCAUCUCAAAGUGGAGCCAGACUGAAAAGGUUUAGGGCAGAUCUGCCGAUGCUGGGGUGACUUUGCAUAAAUAAUAAUGUACUUCAAACAUCUGGUGAUUUCCAUCCUGUUCGCUUCUGCUGAUGCAUUCGCUUGUGAACCAGCCAUAGAUGUAGAGAUCGGCAAGGAUGUCACCUUCAAUUGUACGUUGAGUGCGACAAUCCAUGUGUACCGAGGGUGAGGUGGGAGAAGCAUCAAGUUGCCGGAAUCUUGUACGAGUACAAGGAAGAUAAAAGUGAUGUCAGCAAACAACAUGUCAACUACUCAGGAAGAAUUGAAGUCGACACAUUCUCAUUUAAAGAAGGAAAAGCAUUCCUUACAUUGAAGAAUGUCGAAAUCUGGGAUGAGGGAAAGUACAGUGUCAGUAUUAGCACUGACAAUGGAUAUGGAACUAAAUUUGUCCAGCUAUCUGUUUGGGCUGUUGCUGAUCCUAUCCGAGUUAUCACAAAUUCCAAAAUGGACAUACUCUCUUGCCAGUCGUCAGGGUGGUAUCCUGCCCCAACGGUGGAGUGGAAGGACACAUCGGGGAACCAUUUAAACAAACACAGUGAAAUAAUCAUGAAAGAAAGCAAUGGCUAUUUCAACGUGACCCACAAUCUGAAAGUAUUUGACGAACAGAAUCAGUACAUCUGCUCAAUGUGGCAUAAGUGGAUGAAAAAACAGACUCGAGCGGUUUUCUCGGAUGGAAAUCGCUUAAUCCACGUGGAU